CGGGGUGCAGCAGGCGCGAAAACUCUACAAUGCAGGCAACUGCGAUAGGGGAACAUCGAGUGAUACUCAUCUUGGGUGUCUGUCCUCCCGUCUAAAAAACGGGAGUUAGCAAGGGCCGGGCAAGACCGGUGCCAGCCGCCGCGGUAAUACCGGCGGCUCGAGUGGUGGCCGAUAUUAUUGAGUCUAAAGGGUCCGUAGCCGGCUUUGCAAGUCUUUUGGGAAAUCCAGCGGCUUAACCGUUGGUCGUCCGGGAGAUACUACAUUGCUUGGGACUGGGAGAGGUAGGAGGUACUCAGGGGGUAGGAGUGAAAUCCUGUAAUCCUUUGGGGACCACCGGUGGCGAAGGCGUCCUACCAGAACAGGUCCGACGGUGAGGGACGAAAGCUAGGGGCACGAACCGGAUUAGAUACCCGGGUAGUCCUAGCCGUAAACGACGCUCGCUAGGUGUCACAACAAUCGUGAAUUGUUGUGGUGCCGUAGGGAAGCCGUGAAGCGAGCCACUUGGGAAGUACGACCGCAAGGUUGAAACUUAAAG
rnacentral:rRNA from 1 species